ACAGUUAGCUCAAUUGGUAGAGCAUCAGACUUUAAAUCUGAAAGUCAAGGGUUUAAGUCUCUAAUCGU
rnacentral:tRNA from 1 species